rnacentral:rRNA from 1 species
GUGAGGAAUAUUGGUCAAUGGGCGAGAGCCUGAACCAGCCAAGUAGCGUGAAGGAUGAAGGUCCUACGGAUUGUAAACUUCUUUUAUACGGGAAUAAAGUAUCCUACGUGUAGGAUUUUGUAUGUACCGUAUGAAUAAGCAUCGGCUAACUCCGUGCCAGCAGCCGCGGUAAUACGGAGGAUGCGAGCGUUAUCCGGAUUUAUUGGGUUUAAAGGGAGCGCAGACGGGAGAUUAAGUCAGUUGUGAAAGUUUGCGGCUCAACCGUAAAAUUGCAGUUGAUACUGGUUUCCUUGAGUGCAGUUGAGGCAGGCGGAAUUCGUGGUGUAGCGGUGAAAUGCUUAGAUAUCACGAAGAACCCCGAUUGCGAAGGCAGCUUGCUAAACUGUAACUGACGUUCAUGCUCGAAAGUGUGGGUAUCAAACAGGAUUAGAAACCCCAGUAGUCCC